AAGUUAAGCUAUGCAGUUGUUUUUUACAGGGGUCCAAUUCAGACCUCAAAUCACUAACAUAGCCAUUGCCCCCCAAUUAAUUACUGAAAUUCGAUUGGCUUUAACCUCCAAAAAACAUUCCAUCACUAAACUAGUUGUCUGUGUCACUGAUCUCUUGAAGUGUUUAGGAAUCAGAACAAGUUCUGCAGCACUCACUUCAGUGGUGCAACUCUGACACUAUGUGGUCAAUAUGUGCAUCACAGCCUUCGGGUGCAACUUUCACUGGGGGGGAGCAUGACACCCCCCCCCCCCACACACACAGUUUUAUCAUUGCAUUGUGACACAAAAAGCGGCAUUGGUGUGCUUUAGGACCAUGCAUACUCCUCAGAGCUGUUUGGUAGUUUCAGCCGUCUGGAAUUAGGAUCGCGCUGACACCACAGUGUGAACAGAGGCAGCUGUUGUCUGUUUUUUUUCUUCUUUCUCUGAGUUGCAAAAGCAAGCAGAGCUACUAGCUACUCUAUUUGACUGAUGUAGCUGGCAUGGUAACUGCUGUUUGACUUAACUGAAAAUAAGUAUUUAUUCCCAGUGCUGAGCUAGUAGUGUAACGUUAGCAAGUGUUUCAUCCCCUCUCGAAGUUCGGUGUGAAGUGAAUAAACAAGCUAGCUCGUUAGUAGAUACCACAGCCAGUUCAGUUCUAGCCUCUCGCUAUCUGUCAGGUAGCAGUGUCUAACAGCUUGUGUGUAUGGAAAUGUUUUGUCCUGGUUUUAACAGAAGUAAAUUCACUUGGCUUGUUUUUGCCAGUUGAUCCAUGAUAGUAGCUAGAUAUUGUUUUUGCUCCAUUCACAGUCAGUAUAGCAAUGUAACAUCAGUUUCCCUAACUAAUUUCCUACUUUUCACACUGACAUGGUAUGAACAGCUCUACAGGCGUCACUGUCAUGGUGCACAGUCAGUACACAACACUGCUCACCAUGUCUUAACAGGAUCAGAUGGUGACAGGGGUCCCAGUAUGGUCAGACAGAGAAGACCAGUCUACGGAGCUCAGGACUGAGCCCCAAACGGUAUGAAACUCGGGUGAUGGCCCAGAUCCAGAGCAUCCCAAACAUGCUCAGUGGGUGACAUGUCUGAGGACCUGAGCCCUAGGACCAUGCCUCAGGACUACUUGGCCUGAUGAUGCCUUGCUGUCUCCAGUCCACCUGGUCAUGCUGCUGCUCCAGUUUCAACUGUUCUGCCUGCAGCUAUGGAACCCUGACCUGUCCACCGGAUGUGCUACCUUGUCCCAGCCCCACUGUUUUCAACGCUCUCUGUCUCUAACGUACCUGCUGCCUCUAACUCUGAAUGCCGGGCUAUGAAAAGCCAAUUGACAUUUACUCCUGAGGUGCUGACCUGUUGCACCCUCUACAACCACUGUGCUUAUUAUUAUUUGACACUGCUGGUCAUCUAUGAACAUUUGAACAUCUUGGCUGGGUUUCUGUAGAGCACUUUGGCAUUGGCUGAUGUAAAAAGGGCUUUAUAAAUACAUUUGAUUUAUUGGUUCAUCACUUUUGAAAUGUACAGUGACAGAAUUCAGAACAUGGGCCGUUCUUACAGUAUUCUCCCAGUACACCAAGUCAGAACUCUAGGACAAAUAAAGGUGGACAUAUAAGCAAACAAGCUUUUACAAUAUUGGAUGAUUACAUUUUUCUCUAAAACAAGCUAUAGGCUACAUGUGCACCACCAAGUCAGAACAGUGUUACGUUAUGAGGGGGAAAGGGACCAAAUGAUUAGGAUGUGGAAUAUGGGCUACUAACGAGAGGUGGACCGAUAUUUAUUUAUUUAUUUUAAUUUAUCGGCAUGGCUGAUUACUUAGGGCCGAUUUUCAAGUUAACAACAAUUGGUAAUCUGCAAUUUUGGAUGCUGAUUACAUUGCAUUCCACGAGGAAACUGCGUGGCAGGCUGACCACCUGUUACGCGAGUGCAGCAAGGAGCCAAGGUAAGUUUCGAGCUAGCAUUAAACUUAUAAAAAAACAACUAGUGAUUAUGUGAAGAUUGAUUAACUGCACAUUGUUGAUGAUAUUACUAGGUUAACUAGCUUGUCCUGCGUUGCAUAUAAUCAAUGCGGUGCCUGUUGAUUAUCAUCGAAUCACAGCCUACUUCGCCAAACGGGUGAUGAUUUAAGAAAAGCACAAUUGUUGCACGACUGUUCCUAACUGUAAACAUAAAUGCCUUUCUUAAAAUCAAUACACAGAAGUGUUUUUUUUUUUUAACCUGCAUAUAUAGUUAAACGAAAUUCAUGUUAGCAAGCAAUAUUCACUUUGGAAAUUGUGUAAUUUCUCUUGAGUUCUUUGCAUGCAGAGUCAGGGUAUAUGCAACAGUUUGGGCCGCCUUGCUCGUUGCGAACUCAUUUGCCAGAAUUUUACAUAAUUAUGACAACUUUGAAGGUUGUGCAAUGUAACAACAAUAUUUAGUCUUAGGUUUGCCACCCAUUCGAUAAAAUACGGAAUGGUUCCGUAUUUCACUGAAAGAAUAAACGUUUUAUUUAUAUUUGACCAUAUUAAUGAUCUAAGGCUUGUAUUUCUGUGUGUUUACUAUAAUUAAGUCUA